rnacentral:rRNA from 1 species
UACGUAGGGUGCAAGCGUUAAUCGGAAUUACUGGGCGUAAAGCGUGCGCAGGCGGUUGUGCAAGACAGAUGUGAAAAUCCCCCGGGCUUAACCUGGGAAUUGCAUUUGUGACUGCACGGCUAGAGUGUGUCAGAGGGGGGGUAGAAUUCCACGUGUAGCAGUGAAAUGCGUAGAUAUGUGGAGGAAUACCGAUGGCGAAGGCAGCCCCCUGGGAUAACACUGACGCUCAUGCACGAAAAGCGUGGGGAGCAAACAGG